CUUGGUACAGACAGAGCUCAAGGUAAUGGGUAUCGGAAGCUGAGGGCCUGAAGUUCAGGACUCCUAGAAGGGGAGGGGAAUGAAAGGUUUUCUGUGAAGAAGAUGAGAAGACAUAAAGGCAAAGUUCAAACAACUAGUAAAUUCAUGUUGUGGAAACUCCACCCAUGCCUGCUCAUAACUCUUGUUCUUAAUCAUUGUCCUAUGACAACGGAAAAUAUUAACUAUUUACUGGUUCAAUCCUGCUGUCUGCCUCCUGCAGCGCUACAUCAGGAUUGCUGAGAAAAAUCACAAUCAUGAAGAUGAUGCCUACUAUAGUAGCAAUCUCUUGCAUCAGUUCACUCACUCCUUAGUGUUUCCUGCAGCUAUUUCUGUGUUCCUCAAGUCAGAACUUUGUACUUCAAAUGUGUAUGAGCACUAUCAGUGACAUUGGAGGUUCUGAUGUGCUCUGUAAAGAUCAUGGGAUUCUAAUCAAAUGGACUCACUCUGUCAAUCUUCCUGCUGUGUGACCUGCAAAUGGUCUUUUCCCCUCUUUAAAUUCCUAUCUCUUUAUCUGUAAAAUGGAGUUAAUGAUGGCAUGCCAAUGAGGAUUACAGGUAAUAAUAUACAUAGUGUGAUUCUGACAGAGUUGAGAAGACAUAGGAUGCUUGUGGUGAGUGUGGCCUAUGUCCUGUGGACAUGUCUGUCCUUGACUCUCUGGAGCCACAGGGUCCCUCCUCUUAGUCACAGAUUUUGUUAAUUCAGCUGAAUUGUAUGAUACUCUCAGGUGUCUAAAGACAAACAAAAGCUCAUGAGAAACUGGAUACUACUUAAGUAAAAUUAUCUCUUGUAAUUGUCAGCUGCCAUCAUCAAGGAAUACAAAGAUUAAACUGUUAGCCAACAAGCACUUCCAUUGCAUUCCUUAAAGGAUAUUCUUCUUGCACUGUAAAUGAAACUCUUGCAAGUAGUUAUAUAAAGAAAACAGAAAUAAGAAAAAUUAUGAACUAACAUGGUUUUCAAAGCUGGAGGAAAAAAAGGCAAUUCUCUAUACCUUUUGUAGAGCUCCUGAUGUCUUUCUGACAUCUGCUGCUGUAAUAAAGGACCACAGACAUAGAAACUGAAAACACCACAAAUCUAUUCUAAUUCUGGAGGCUUAGAAGCAUAACACUGGUGUGGUGUUAUUGGGCUAAAAUUAAUGUGUUGGAAAGAUUGCACUCUUUCCAGGGGUGGGGUUGGGGUGGCUUAGAAGUGAAUCCAUUUCUUUGCCUUUUCCUGUAGAAGGUAAUCUAGAUUCCUUGGCUGGUGGAUCCUUUUCCCACCUUCAAAGGCAGCAACAUUGCAUCUCCCUGACACAGGCUUAUCUAUGACUCUCCUCUAUUGCCUCCCUCUUCCAUUUGUAAAGGGCCUUGUGCUUACCAUGGGCCCAGAAUAUCCAGAAAAUCCAGGAUAUUCUUCCUCUGAUUAAGUCUACUCAAUAAUAAUCUUAAUUCCAUCUGCAAACUUUCAUUCUUUGCCAUGUAAUAUAACAUAUUUCAAGGUUCCAAAACUAGGAUGUUGUUGGAAGGUCACCAUUAUCUGUAUAAUAAAAGGGCAUGUAUUCUAUACAUGUAAUUAUACAUGUAAUUUAUUUGUUUAUAUGUAUCUGUAUGCUGACAUAAAAUGUUACCAUGUAUUGUGCUUUUAGUUAAAUGUGAUGAUCUCAUUUAAUCCUUACAACAACUCUACGAAAUAGGAACUGCUUUUUGGAAUGAGAAAACUGAGCUUGGAGUUAUGAAAUGUGCCUGGGUAAAGAGCUGGUAAGGAGAAGAGUAAAAUUCUAAUACAGAGCUGAUUUUUCUAAAGCUAUGUUCUUAAUCACUGCACUUUACUAAAAUUUGUUUAGAUUGUAUUUUUCUUUCUAUUUUCAGAGGAAAUUAUUAAAUAAAAACUAGAUUAGUUUUUUGUGGGAGGGCUAAUCCAAUCAGUAUGCAGCAGUUAAAAUUCAAAUGAAGAUAUUGCCGGUUGUUUUGAUGUGUUACUUACGUUAUUUCUAAAUUGAAUUUUAUAUUAUCACAGAUUUUUGUAACUAAUUUAGACUCUUCAUGCCAAAUCCAUAGUUUUUGAACUGUUAAUACUAUUUGCUUUAAAAAAGUUUAAAGUGUAUAGUUUCCUCCAAAAACUGUGUGCCUAAAUUUUGUUUAUUUGCAGAAUUUAAAAGUGAAAAGAGACCUCAGAAAAUCAUGUGAUUUUAGUUUCUUGCCUUGAAUAUCUCAAACCACCACAUUUACUU